rnacentral:rRNA from 1 species
GCAUUAUACUCGCGAAACUGCGAAUGGCUCAUUAAAUCAGUUAUCGUUUAUUUGAUAAUACCUUACUACUUGGAUAACCGUGGUAAUUCUAGAGCUAAUACAUGCUAAAAAUCCCGACUUCGGAAGGGAUGUAUUUAUUAGAUUAAAAACCAAUGCCCUCUGGGCUCACUGGUGAUUCAUAAUAACUUCUCGAAUCGCAUGGCCUUGCGCCGGCGAUGGUUCAUUCAAAUUUCUGCCCUAUCAACUUUCGACGGCUGGGUCUUGGCCAGCCAUGGUGACAACGGGUAACGGAGGGUUAGGGCUCGACCCCGGAGAAGGAGCCUGAGAAACGGCUACUACAUCCAAGGAAGGCAGCAGGCGCGCAAAUUACCCAAUCCCGACUCGGGGAGGUAGUGACAAUACAUACUGAUACAGGGCUCUUUUGGGUCUUGUAAUUGGAAUGAGUACAAUUUAAAUCUCUUAACGAGGAACAAUUGGAGGGCAAGUCUGGUGCCAGCAGCCGCGGUAAUUCCAGCUCCAAUAGCGUAUAUUAAAGUUGUUGCGGUUAAAAAGCUCGUAGUUGAACCUUGGGCCUGGCUGGCCGGUCCGCCUCACCGCGUGCACUGGUUCGGUCGGGCCUUUCCCUCUGGGGAACCGCAUGCCCUUCACUGGGCGUGUCGGGGAACCAGGACUUUUACUUUGAAAAAAUUAGAGUGUUCAAAGCAGGCCUAUGCUCGAAUACAUUAGCAUGGAAUAAUAGAAUAGGACGUGCGGUUCUAUUUUGUUGGUUUCUAGGACCGCCGUAAUGAUUAAUAGGGACAGUCGGGGGCAUCAGUAUUCAAUUGUCAGAGGUGAAAUUCUUGGAUUUAUUGAAGACUAACUACUGCGAAAGCAUUUGCCAAGGAUGUUUUCAUUAAUCAGGAACGAAAGUUAGGGGAUC